GGCACGUAACCAUACAUAGGCAGGUGGGGAAGGGCCCAAGAUGGAAGGGCAGCCGAGGGGAGUGUCACUAAACAGCAGCUCGCUCUUCUUAAUGAUAGAAUUGGCAGCGGUGUUCGGUUGCUCUUGAACAGAGUGAAAGACCUUCUUGCCAUAAGUGGCCAGACAUCCUAUCAAAACCUCAAUUUUGAAAUUAGAAAGUAAUUUGAUGGAAUGUGAUGGUCCGUCUUACCUAUCUAUUCUUUCAGAGCUGGACUAAACUGGUCUAACUAGGACACUUGAAGGCUUGUGAAUCAGUUCACAUGAUCAGUGAGAAAGCGGGUAUGAAGAUCCAGAUGCUGGUAUGGACGUGUGCGUGUAAGCGCCCACAGAGGGCACAGAUUCUUUCUCUGUUCCUUGUCCCACCAGCCACACAGAUUACUGACAUGGAUUGUAAGUCAGGUAUUCAAUGGGAAAAUACAUUAAUAAUGUGUUUAUAAAGAAAAAGCUACACAAAUUGUUUGACGAUUUCACUACUCACAUCCCAGAUUCUCCGUGCAGAAGCUCCUGACAUAUCGCAACCUGGCCACAGAUUAGUGGACAGGGGUCGACUUCCAAUUCAAGGGCACCUGGCUCCGGACUAGUCAUCAACUCAUGGGAACACCAGCACUAAACCUCUGCCCUAAACCAGGUGCUUUAAACUGCAUCCCAAAGGAUACCAUCUCAUGGGAAAUUAAAAUUGGAGGCUCAAAAGUACGUCAGCAAGUACAAAGUGCUGUGGAAGUAAGCGUGCAGUCAAUGCCAUGAUGCAAUAGAGGCAGAGUGUGAGAAGAAGGCAUGUUCUGAGGAGAAGAAAAGUGGAGAGGGAAUUGCACUAUGGAGAUAAAACAGGUAGGCUGGGCACAGUGACUCAUGCCUGUAAUUCCAACACUUUAGGAAGCCGAGGUGGGUGGAUCACUUCAGGCCAGGAGUUCAAGACCAGCCUGGACAACACAGUGAAAUCCAACUCUACCAAAAAAUACAAAAAUUAUCCAAGCAUGGUAGCGGGCGGCUGUAGUACCAGCUACUGGGGAGGCUGAGACAUGAGAAUCGCUUGAACCAGAGAGGCAGAGGUUGCAAUGAGC
rnacentral:lncRNA from 13 species